GCGUUCCUGUCGGCCAAGCGGGUCAGGGACGCGUACUUCGGCUACGCGGUGUCCCAGUUCCGCAGGCUGGAGGGACGCG
rnacentral:tRNA from 1 species